rnacentral:rRNA from 1 species
ACGAACGCUGGCGGCGUGCCUAAUACAUGCAAGUUGAGCGCUGAAGGUUGGUACUUGUACCAACUGGAUGAGCAGCGAACAGGUGAGUAACGCGUGGGGAAUCUGCCUUUGAGCGGGGGACAACAUUUGGAAACGAAUGCUAAUACCGCAUAAAAACUUUAAACACAAGUUUUAAGUUUGAAAGAUGCAAUUGCAUCACUCAAAGAUGAUCCCGCGUUGUAUUAGCUAGUUGGUGAGGUAAAGGCUCACCAAGGCGAUGAUACAUAGCCGACCUGAGAGGGUGAUCGGCCACAUUGGGACUGAGACACGGCCCAAACUCCUACGGGAGGCAGCAGUAGGGAAUCUUCGGCAAUGGACGAAAGUCUGACCGAGCAACGCCGCGUGAGUGAAGAAGGGUUUCGGAUCGUAAAACUCUGUUGGUAGAGAAGAACGUUGGUGAGAGUGGAAAGCUCAUCAAGUGACGGUAACUACACAGAAAGGGACGGCUAACUACGUG